rnacentral:rRNA from 1 species
UACGUAGGGUGCAAGCGUUGUCCGGAAUUAUUGGGCGUAAAGAGCUCGUAGGCGGUUUGUCGCGUCUGCUGUGAAAACUCGGGGCUCAACUCCGAGCUUGCAGUGGGUACGGGCAGACUAGAGUGCGGUAGGGGAGACUGGAAUUCCUGGUGUAGCGGUGAAAUGCGCAGAUAUCAGGAGGAACACCCGUAGCGAAGGCGGCACUCUGGGCCGAUUCUGACACUGAGGAGCGAAAGCGUGGGGAGCAAACAGG